AAUUAGAAUCUGAGGUUGAUAGAAAAAUGUUUUCAUUGACGCACUUUCUAUUUGUUCCAGGUCAUGGAUUUCACAGAUCAUGUUUGGACAGAGUGCAUGUCACCUGUUCUAGGAAGAUGGAUGCAUCUUGAUCCUUGUGAAGGAAUAUACGACAAUCCUUUGCUAUAUGAGAAAGGGUAGAAAGAGAAUUUGAAUUAUGUAAUUGCUUUUGCAAAAGAUGGAGUGUAUGACGUCACUAAACGUUACACCAGAAAGUGGCAUGAGGUUCUGUCUCGGAGAAACAUUACUACGGAGCCCAUCCUGUCUAUUAUUCUCUCGGACAUAAGAAGAGAAUGUCGACAGAAUUUAACAUCUCAAGUGAUUUCUGC